GACGAACGCUGGCGGCGUGCUUAACACAUGCAAGUCGAGCGAGAUGAACUCCUUCGGGAGGGACUCUAGCGGCGGACGGGUGAGUAACACGUGGGUAACCUGCCUCAUAGAGGGGAAUAGCCUUUCGAAAGGAAGAUUAAUACCGCAUAAGAUUGUAGUGCCGCAUGGCAUAGCAAUUAAAGGAGCAAUCCGCUAUGAGAUGGACCCGCGUCGCAUUAGCUAGUUGGUGAGGUAACGGCUCACCAAGGCGACGAUGCGUAGCCGACCUGAGAGGGUGAUCGGCCACAUUGGGACUGAGACACGGCCCAGACUCCUACGGGAGGCAGCAGUGGGGAAUAUUGCACAAUGGGGGAAACCCUGAUGCAGCAACGCCGCGUGAGUGAUGACGGUCUUCGGAUUGUAAAGCUCUGUCUUCAGGGACGAUAAUGACGGUACCUGAGGAGGAAGCCACGGCUAACUACGUGC
rnacentral:rRNA from 1 species